ensembl:lncRNA
CGCUGAGAGUGACCAACCUUUUCAGUUCACGCCUUCCCAUGAGGGAUUGCCCCACAGACCUUUGUGGCAUAAAUCAUAUUUCAACACUGUAAUCAGUAAAACUUUCAUACAUACCACAAACUUUCACACACACAUUCCUAGGCAUACACAGAAUAAAGAGAAACAUUUGUCUCAGAGACUUACAAGCAAAUAAAUAUAAACACACAGGACUAAUUCAAUAAAGGAGAGGAGGAAACUAUUAUACAAUAACAAAAAAGGCAAUGCUCAAGAGACUCAAAUACCACCAAAGAGAGCACCUAAAUGAGGUUGAAUUGUGUGUGUUUGUCGCUCAGUCCUGUCCAGCUCUAUGCGACCCCAUGGACUGGAAUCCAUCAGGUUCCUCUGUCCAUGGGAUUUCCCAGGAAAAAGGAGCCAAAGGAACACAGAAGAAGGGGUAACAAAUUCAGCUUGGAGGACACGGUUAAGUCAUCCUUGAGAAGAUUAGCUGUUUCCCAAAAUUCCCCAGGUGGUGAAGAGAGCGAGAGACCAGCGUAACUUGAAAACAUGUUUUCUGGCAGAGGAUUAUUGGCAGAGCAACCAAACUGGGGCCACUUAUUGUCCUUACAUGUAAAGUAGCUUAGUGCUUGGCCCUGGCCUACCU